UCUCCAAAAGAAUUUUGCUGCUGCUUAUUUGGUUAAUUAGCACUCCCUUUGUCAUUUCUCCCUCUCGUCUCUUGCUUCCCCCAUCUUUGAUUUGGAACUUUCCAUCUCCCAUCUCCAAAUCUCAUUCUCUCUCUUAUUUCUCUUCCUUUCUUCUCAUUCUCAAGGUUCUUAGAUCAGAUCUACAGCUCUAGGGCUAGGUUUCGGGAGGAAGGAGGGAAAAGGGAAAAAAAUCUCUAACCCUAAUCAACGGAGCAGCUGCAUCCCUGUAACCCCAAAUCGAAGCCGCACUAUCUUUAUCUGUUCUCCCUCUACGCCAUCACCACUACCGACCUCGCCUGAAUCGUUGGGUGAAACCACAGCUGAAAGAUUUGGAUGCCGUGCGACAGAGGCUGACAAAAAGGAAGACUACCACCAAUGAUAGCGCCUGAGCUUCCUCUAAUGCCAUUCUCUUUGGUGAAGAGAGUUUUUCCCAAUAGCCGAGCAAUCUGAUGCGGUUUUCCCUUUUAGGAUUCCGUAUGGAGAGAGAUACUUUCGUCAUCAUGUUGGAUUCUGACGACAUACGCGAAUUAGGAGGCGGCUGCUUUCGGUCAUGGCUGCCGAUGGCACUAAUAGGGUUGUCUAUUGUCUUAAUGUCGGCUCUAGUGGGUGGCAGCACUACUCGGAUCAAGCUAUCAUGGUUGUAACUGAUAGGGAUCUUGCUCAGAAUCGGCUCACUGGUGACAUUCCGAGGCUGAUUUACUGGAAUGAAGUAUUGCAGUAUCUUGGGUUGUGGGGGAAUUUGCUGACGGGAAAUUUGUCUCCUGAUAUGUGUUAAUUGACUGGCCAAUGGUACUUUGAUGUGAGCGGCAAUAACAUCUCAGGAACCAUACUAGAUAACAUUGGGAAUUGUACAAGCUACGAAAUCCUAUAAGAUGGCUGACAUUCCUUUUGAUGUGGGUGUUGUUCUGGUUCUUUCUUCAAUUGUUUAUGGUGUAUUGACUGUUAUGACUUCCAAGGAUAUUUCUUACAAUCAAAUCACUGGAGAGAUUUCUUACAACAUUGGUUUCCUGAAAGUAGCUACAUUGUCUCUUCAGGGAAAUAGGCUUACUGGGAAGAUUCCAGAAGUGAUAGGACUCAUGCAUGCUCUUGCUAUUUUAUCAAACUGAAGAAACCUUACUAGCAAUAGGUGACAACAGCUCAAAUCAUGGUAUCAAAAGCUACCCCAACCUGUAAUUUUAUAGUGUUUGGGGGUACAAAUGGAAUAAAUCCACUCAAGGAUUUGAAUAUUUUUGACACCUGCAAGUCUUCUUCUUCUUUUUUUUUUUGUCCUUGGCACGACUGCUUGAUGAUAUUUUGUUUUCUUCCACUCAAUUCUUUUGUUUUCUGGUAUUGUACUGAUGCCAGAUUUGUUGACUGUGGACUCCUGGUAAUUCUUUUCAAAUGUUCAUUUUUCUUUUUUAAAUGCAUGUUCCGCCUGACGAGUGAACUGGCGUGAUUUUUGAGCCUAUCUAUUUAUUAGUGUGGACCGCUUGAUGCAUGCUCUAAUGCUCUCUGCAGGUUGGUGAAUGCGGUCUCAUGAGUAGGUCUGCCCUAUUAAUGAAAUUCAGUAAAAAUAUAAAUUUUUUAUUUUUUCUCCUUGAAUCAAUUUGCUUUUGGAGAUAAAAUGAAAUUGAUAUAAAAUGCAUCAAAAAGGAAGCAUUGUCCAAUUUGAAUUUCUGAUGCAUAGGAGUAGAAACAUAUGAAGCUAUUGCUGAUUCUCUUUUUAUUGGUUUUGGUGAUCGGGCUGAAACUGCAUAUGGUGACAGUGGGAUGAAGGUAGGUUCUUGAGUUGCAUGCUAUGAUGCUUAUGAUGCAGUUUUAUCCUUAAAGAAAAGGGAAGAAAAAUCUGUCCACACAUUUAUUAAAAAAAUUCCAUAGCUAUUUUGCUCCCUCUGCUAGUUACAGAUAUUUAUUGGUUCCUUUUAUUUUAUUUCAAAUU